GACGAACGCUGGCGGCGUGCUUAACACAUGCCAGUCGAACGGGCCUUGUCCCCUUUUUUUUGGGGGUGGGGUUAGUGGCGAACGGGUGAGUAACACGUGAGUAACCUGCCCCUCACUUCUGGAUAACCGCUUGAAAGGGUGGCUAAUACGGGGUGUUCUGGCCUGCUCGCAUGGGUGGGUUUGGAAAGAUUCGACCGGUUUUGGUUGUUUUGGUGGGGGAUGGGCUCGCGGCCUAUCAGCUUGGUGGUGGGGUGAUGGCCUGCCAAGGCUUUGACGGGUAGCCGGCCUGAGAGGGUGGGCGGUCACACUGGGACUGAGACACGGCCCAGACUCCUACGGGAGGCAGCAGUGGGGAAUAUUGCACAAUGGGCGCAAGCCUGAUGCAGCGACGCCGCGUGAGGGAUGGAGGCCUGCGGGUUGUGAACCUCUUUCGCCAGUGAAGAAGGUCCUGCUCUUUGUGGUGGGGUUGACGGUAGCUGGGUUAAUGAAGCGCCGGCUAACUACGUG
rnacentral:rRNA from 1 species